rnacentral:rRNA from 1 species
UGCGUAACGCGUAUGCAAUCUACCUUUUACAGGGGAAUAGCCCAGAGAAAUUUGGAUUAAUGCCCCAUGGUAUUAUCGGAUGGCAUCAUUUGAUAAUUAAAGUUCCAACGGUAAAAGAUGAGCAUGCGUCCUAUUAGCUUGUUGGUAAGGUAACGGCUUACCAAGGCUACGAUAGGUAGGGGUCCUGAGAGGGAGAUCCCCCACACUGGUACUGAGACACGGACCAG